rnacentral:rRNA from 1 species
GCUGAUGGCGACCGGCGCACGGGUGAGUAACACGUAUCCAACCUGCCGUCUACUCUUGGCCAGCCUUCUGAAAGGAAGAUUAAUCCAGGAUGGGAUCAUGAGUUCACAUGUCCGCAUGAUUAAAGGUAUUUUCCGGUAGACGAUGGGGAUGCGUUCCAUUAGAUAGUAGGCGGGGUAACGGCCCACCUAGUCAACGAUGGAUAGGGGUUCUGAGAGGAAGGUCCCCCACAUUGGAACUGAGACACGGUCCAAACUCCUACGGGAGGCAGCAGUGAGGAAUAUUGGUCAAUGGGCGAUGGCCUGAACCAGCCAAGUAGCGUGAAGGAUGACUGCCCUAUGGGUUGUAAACUUCUUUUAUAAAGGAAUAAAGUCGGGUAUGCAUACCCGUUUGCAUGUACUUUAUGAAUAAGGAUCGGCUAACUCCGUGCCAGCAGCCGCGGUAAUACGGAGGAUCCGAGCGUUAUCCGGAUUUAUUGGGUUUAAAGGGAGCGUAGAUGGAUGUUUAAGUCAGUUGUGAAAGUUUGCGGCUCAACCGUAAAAUUGCAGUUGAUACUGGAUGUCUUGAGUGCAGUUGAGGCAGGCGGAAUUCGUGGUGUAGCGGUGAAAUGCUUAGAUAUCACGAAGAACUCCGAUUGCGAAGGCAG